rnacentral:rRNA from 1 species
AUUGAACGCUGGCGGCAGGCCUAACACAUGCAAGUCGAACGAGUGGCGGACGGGUGAGUAAUGUCUGGGAAAAUGCCUGAUGGAGGGGUAUCACUACUGGAAACGGUAGCUAAUACCGCAUACCAUCGGAUGUGCCCAGAUGGGAUUAGCUUGUAGGUGAGGUAACGGCUCACCUAGGCGACGCUCCCUAGCUGGUCUGAGAGGAUGACCAGCCACACUGGAACUGAGACACGGUCCAGACUCCUACGGGAGGCAGCAGUGGGGAAUAUUGCACAAUGGGCGAAAGCAUGAUGCAGCCAUGCCGCGUGUAUGAAGAAGGCCUUCGGGUUGUAAAGCACUUUCAGCGGGGAGGCGUUACCCGCAGAAGAAGCACCGGCUAACUCCGUGCCAGCAGCCGCGGUAAUUC